rnacentral:rRNA from 1 species
UACGGAGGGUGCAAGCAUUAAUCGGAUUUAUUGGGCGUAAAGGGCGCGUAGGCGGAAAGGAAAGUCAGAUGUGAAAUCCCGGGGCUCAACCCCGGAACUGCAUUUGAAACUCCCUUUCUAGAGGAUAGGCGGAGAAAAUGGAAUUCCACAAGUAGCGGUGAAAUGUGUAGAGAUCGGGAGGAACACCGGUGGCGAAGGCGGGUCUCUGGGCAAUUCCUGACGCUGAGGCGCGAAAGCGUGGGGAGCAAAC